rnacentral:lncRNA from 1 species
AGCGGGCACUGUGCGGUGCGGGGAGCCAGGAGCCACGGCACCAACCCACAGAUAAGUGCUGGGGAACAAAGCCGAGGGGCCGGCAGCACCGAUCUGGUUUCCCAUCUGGGCUGGGCUCACAGACGGCCCUUUGGCACCUGGUGCACAGGAGGAGCACCCAAAGCUGCAGUGCCACCAAGCCCCAGUGCUGCCCUCACACCUCUCUGUCUCUCCCCAGCCCUCAAGAAGUCGUUUGAGGCAGAGGAUGCAGGUGAUGCUCCCGGAUCCCCCAUUGCGUCCCCGCUGCCUGCGAGUGCCACCGAGAGCCACCGGGUUCUGCAGCCCGGCCCUGCACCACACAGCCCAUUGCUGCGGGGCCAGCACCGUGCUGGCAGGGCUCCUGGCAGCAUUGCCUCCUUCCAGAGCCACACGGGGCCGGGCAGCGACGGUGAGAGCCUGCGCAGCUCCAGCUCCAGCCUGGAGAGCCCCGCAGCCCCUCAGCCUCCUGCAGCCUCCCUGGCUGCCGACCCCUGCUUGAAGAAAGUGCCAUCGCACGGCUGCGUCUUCCCAGUGGAAGCAGAAUGUUCCCUGCAUGUGGCCGCCGGGCACAGCUCACUGCCAGCACUGGACCUGCACAUCGCCGAGGAGCCAGGCAUCCCCCUGCCAGCCCCACACCCCACACAGCCAUGGGGUGCCCACAGCCCAGCUGCCCUGCCCCACAGCCGCCUGCCUUCCUCCUCCUCCUCAGGUGGUGAGAUGGCCCCAGGGCUGCCCCGCACACAGCUCAGGGUCAGCCUCAGUGCCAGCCCCCGCCUGGCUCGCCCGACCCCCCUGGCUGUCACUGCAGCCACCGGCCCUGGUGACGGGCUGCUCCCCCCAGCUGCACCCUUCAAGUUGGUGUCACAGCCACAGACGGUGCAGGUGAGCUCCCAGCCUGCCUUCCUCGGGGGGGUGGUGCUGGGGCCGGGCGCCCCAUUGGCACUGAGGAACAUCGGCAGCACCGGCCCCACCAUGGGGACCUGCUUGGUGAUGCCACGAGGGCUCGGCCAGGCUGCAGAUGGAUGCUGUGCCACGGUGACACCGGAGCACGGUAGGACUCGCUCGUCCCCUCUGUCCUUUCUCCGGGUGUGA